CUGGAUUUGGUGGCUCACCAGGCCUCCCAGGCAUUAGGGGUCUCCCUGGUUAUCAAGGACAGAAGGGCGUGAUGGAGAUUUAGGCCGCCCUGGAGCCCAGGUUCACCAGGAGAGAAAGGUUUUCCAGGAUCACCUGGUUUAAAUGGACUCAAUGGUCUUCCAGGAUCCAAGGGGUUGUCUGGAGUUCCAGGUGUGAGUGAAGGUGGUCGGACUGGAGCUCCUGGUGUGAAUGGCCUGAAGGGAGAGAGAGAGGCUCA